GUAGUACUAGGAACAAAGAUUAAAGGACUAAACAUGCUGAAUCAGUUGGGUUGGUUAAUUUGGAGUUAUAAAUCAUACAUGUUUGUCUCUUUAUGUGAACGUCAGAACCAAGGAGAAGCUUAUAAAAGUGAUAGUCACGUACCUUAAGAUGGUACCUUACUUGAAGAGUGAUGGUACAGUAUCACCUUGUGGAAGCUUCCCUUUCUUAGCGGUUGU
rnacentral:lncRNA from 1 species